AAGGGCGCGACAGCUGCGGGUUAAGUCGCAAAAUCUGAUAAAUGGAGAGCUUUUUAGCAUAUUGUUACAAUAGAGGUUAUAUCCCUCUCACUCUCAGCUCUCUCCCCUCUCACUCUCACAGCCCCUCUCUCUCUCUAGCUCUCUCUUUCUCUCUAACCGGUUGAAGGAGAAAAGAAGGAGAAGGAAAAAGAGAGGAAAAAGAAGGAAAAAGAGAGGAAGAAAAGGAAGGAGAAGAAGGAGAAGAAGGUUUUGGAGCUCUUCUUCACCUCAUUCUUGGCUUAGGGCUUGCUUUGGAGCAAACCCUAAAGGUAAGCUCUAACCCUAGUUUUGGAUUUCUAGGGUUUGGAUGGCUUUUGUUGCUUUUAAUGGUUCAAAUGGAACCUAAUGAGCUUAGGGAUGAUGGAUAUAGCUCACAUUGAGGCUAGCACCCAUGGUUUUCCUCAUUAUUGCUAAACCUAGGUUUUGAGAAAGGUUUUGUUGCUUAAGAAUGGUUCAAAUGGAAACCAUUGGAGCUUAAGAGAAGGUUAAAUCCCAAAUUUGGAGCUUGAAACCAUGAUUUCUCUAUUGUUGCUAAAGCUAGGGUAAGAUUUGGGGAUUUUGCUAAUAUUAGGGUUUGAUCUCAUUUGAGGGGUUAGAAACCUAAUUCUUAUGCUUAUAAACGCGUAGGCGAAGACGGUUCGUCGAUCCGACUACUGAGUGCGAAGAUAUCGCCAAUUGAUGCGCUAAAGGGUUAAAGUUAACCCAACGAAAAUUAAGCGGCGACAAGACUAGCACGAGAACGCGUCUCGGAGUGCUUGCGGCAUCACCCAAGGUGGGGGAGUGCCAUCCCGAAGUCAUCGGGCCACCUUCUAUGUCUAAGUUUUAAUUGAUCUAUUUGCAUAUUGUGCAUGAUACAU
rnacentral:lncRNA from 1 species